rnacentral:snRNA from 1 species
GUGUUAGCUUUGGCAAUACACACUACAGUUAAAAUGAUACAGAGAAAAUUAGGAUGGCCCUUGUGCAAGGAUGAAGUAUUCCCAACGAAUCUUGCUCUU